GACCUUCUUUUUUUUUUUUGUAGAUUUAUUUUUAUUCAGAAAUACUUUCAUAUUCUCUAACUGUUCAUCAAAAGUUUAAAAAUUCAAAAGGGACACAAAAAAAUUACAUGGGUCUUAGAAGCUAUGUCAAACAUGUGAGUUUUAAGAGUGACAUUUUAUACAGUGUAAUUUAGCCCUCAUAAUUUUCUUAUAAUCAAAUUAUAACAGGAACACAAACAUACCAUAUAUUACUCUUUAAAAUUUUUGUUUUACAAUAUGUUCUUGUCAAUGGGACACUUCAAAAUGUUUAAACCUGACAGAAAAGCAUUAAAAAAAAAAAAAAAGUACCAAUGGAAGAAAAAAGUGUCAGAAACACACCUGUCCUUUACCUGGUGUGAAGAUGGGAACCACUGCAAUAAAAAAACUCUGAAUCCAUUCUCCUGGGGAGCACGCUCUGAACAUCCACACUUGGGUCUAUUGUUCUUUAAAAUCAUUUCAGACUUAAAAUCAAUUCUUUGUUACCAAGUGAGAAAGAGGCCCACUUUCAAUAUUCACUUUCAUUGAUGCCGUCUGCAUUUCCUCUUAAGCAGUUGGUUUCUGGGACAGAGUUAGGCAGGGACACGCUGUUUGAAGGAUACCCAGUCUCACAGCUAACCACAGACUCAGUGGUGAAAACAGUGAGCAGAACCGCUUUAGGAGUGAACCCGGGCAUCGGAACCGUCCCUCGGAUACUGUUCACUGGGGGAAAUUAACCCUGGGUUUGACGUUUGGGAAGCUUGACGGGUUGGAGAAGCGGCCUCCGGAAGGAAGAGAGGGCUCCUCAGCUAAACGUGCGGGCAGUCCUCCAUCACCUCCUUGGCCCCGAGGGACGAGCCCUUCGCAAUCCCCCUGCCCACGGGGAGGGGCCUAAAAGGGGUCUGGGGGGCUCAGAGGAGGGGGAGCCCGAGACGCCCGCAGGGGUGAAGCUAGAGGAGUGAGGCGAGGAAACCCCGGGACAUCCUGGACACCACAGUCAUCUCCCAUGGCCCCACAGGUCUGGGCUGUGGUUUGGGAAGAAGAGAAAGAGUUGUAGGUGGAAGAACUUCAAGGAAACAGAGGGAGCUGUUACCCGUGACAGGCCCUGAGUCUCCCGGGGGGUGCCUACGGUGUGUGUGGUGGGGGGGGGGGGGUCACCCACUCUUCCCGAACCCCGCUCCGCCGGCGGCUCAGUGUGAGUGCAAGUGACACUGCAUGCUUUGUAAAGACCAAGGCAACUUGCAUUUACCGUCCUGCGCUUCCUCUGCAUGUAAUCUCCUCCUAGUCAUCCUCUGUACUCUUACCCCUGAUCCCUUCCAAAACACUUUCAAUAUGUCUGCUGUUACGUACUGUUUCACCUAUAAAGCAACAUAUAUAUUAAAAACAGAUUUGUUUG